rnacentral:misc_RNA from 1 species
CUUUUGUAUUCUUGUUUUAAAAUUUUUAUUUUUAAAGAAAAAUCAAAAAUAUUUUCCUUAUAGCCUUUUGAAUUUUUGUCUUAAAUUUUAUCAAAUUCGCUAGUAGAUUUCGAACACCGAAUUUCAAUUCACAUCCUCUCCACUACCUUUCCUUCACGUGAAAUCUCUUGCCUUGCCAUCAAUUGCUCUCAACAAAUCAUUUGUUUUCUAGCUUUCCUUGCCUAAGCUCAAUAGUGGUAGUUUUAAUAUAGAAAUACAAUAUUGUUUCUUUUGUCUUUUCCUUAAUACUUUUAGUAAUUUUCGUUAAUCUUAAUUAGUUUUAUUAAAAUACCCAAAAAUAUUUUCCUUUUCUUUUAACUUAAGUAAGUUUAUAUUUUUACUAUUUAAGAAAAUUUAAAAAGAAUUUUUCCUUAUCUUUUAGUUUCUUUAAGUUUGCGCCCAU